CAGCCGCCGCGGGAAUACGAAGGGUGCAAGCGUUACUCGGAAUUACUGGGCGUAAAGCGUGCGUAGGUGGUUGUUUAAGUCUGUUGUGAAAGCCCUGGGCUCAACCUGGGAAUUGCAGUGGAUACUGGGCAACUAGAGUGUGGUAGAGGGUAGUGGAAUUCCCGGUGUAGCAGUGAAAUGCGUAGAGAUCGGGAGGAACAUCCAUGGCGAAGGCAGCUACCUGGACCAACACUGACACUGAGGCACGAAAGCGUUGGGAGCAAACAGGAUUAGAUACCCGCGUAGUCCCUGUCUCUUAUAC
rnacentral:rRNA from 1 species